rnacentral:lncRNA from 1 species
GAAAAACUUAUAGAAAUUUGACUAGCCAUGAAGAUUAUAUAGAAAUAAUAUCGAUCCCAUCCCUGAGUUCCAAAUAAUAAUUGAAAAAAGAGAGCUGAAAACAGAGUUCAUAACAACAAAUUUCUGAAAUUAGUUUUUAACAAGUUAAAAGGGCUAAGCCAUCAGGUUACACCUACAAAGAAUCAAAGUUAUCUUCUAUAUAAAUUUGUAAACAUCAAGUAACGAGGGUUUACCCCCAACGAAUAUUGGAGGAGCUUGGAUUUCUACACUACCCUCAAUAUCUUCUCUCUGUAGCUGCUCAGCUUCUUCUCCUUUUCAAGGGUUGGCGACUGGAGCAUGCUCAAACUAUGAUUUUGUAAAACCCCCAACCCGUAUCCCUCGCCAGAACCGGGUUACGGAGCAUUACCGGAGAUUUCAGAUCAAACAGACAGAAAUCUCAAAUAUUUUAUAUCAUCAAAACAAGUCAUCAAGCAUCGUUUUAAUCCAAAUUAUAAACUCUCAAAAAUAGAUCUUACAACUUCAUUUACAAUCAAAUCACAAAAUAACUAAUAUUUAGACACUUUAGGUACAUGCCGACACAAAGAAAUAAACAUCACCAUAUUUGAGUUCGGGAUCGUUGUUGGAUGCUGAAUCAGCGAUCAAACUUAAGUACUUAACCUGCACACGAAAAAUAAAACCGUACGCUGAGUAAAAACUUAGUGGUAUUUCUAUAAUCUGAAUAUUUAAAAAUAAAACAAUAAAAUAUGUAUAAUAAAAUGUCAAGCACAAUUGAACAUUUAAAACCAUACGAUAUUCAAUAAUCAUCACUUGCUAUAUAUAAUAGCUUUCCACAUUCAAUUCAUGAGUAUAUAACUCGUGUAUUCCAUGUAUUUAUAACAUAUUUCAUAUUAUGUUUUCAAUUCACUAUCAUUUUUCACAUUCUAUUUUCAAUUCACUAUCUCAUAUUCUUAUUCUUAGCCCAAAGUAGACUUUAUAGAACACACCGGAUAUACGGAACAAAUACAGAGGUGCAUUAUUAUGCACUAAUGAACAGAGAGCACUGAAGUGCUAUACAGUGAGCACAGAUGUGCUAAACAGAGAGCACUGACGUGCUAGUAAUCAGGGGAGCACUAACGUGCUAAUAAUCAGAGAGCACCAACGUGCUAAAUGCUAAUAAUCAGAGAGUGCGCUAAAGUUCCUUAAUGACAUGCCACUAAUAUCCCAGUAGUUCUAAAUUCCAUCUACUUGGGCAUUAAGGGUGAAUUUUAUACAUAUAAAAAAUAAUUGAAUUAUCAUAUUUGCACAAUUUCACAUUUAUAAUAUAUAUUCAUAAUAUAUAUUCCACUUCAAUUCAACCAAUAUAAUUUCAUCACAUAUCAAUACAAUCCACUUCAAUUGUAAAAAAAAAAAACAAUAAUUCUCACCUCAAUCACUUACCAUAACAUUUAAUUAAAAAUAUAACAAUUAAUAAUUAGAUUCGGAUUAUAGAAAUACAAACCAGGAAUUCCGAGCUAUUCCUCGUCGACUAUAUUUUUUUCCCUUUUUAGUCGAGAAUUCCGGUACAACGCUAGCUACGGAAUUAAAACAAUUAAAAAUCAUCAAUACAAUUCAAUUCAAUCUCAUAUUAAAUAUUUCAAUUUUUACUCAAUAUUUGCCUAAAUUUCAAUUUAGUCUCUAAACCGAGACUAACUUUUAUUCUCAAAACUAAUUUCAUAUUUUCAUUCCAUUCCCACUUUAAACUAAUUUAACUCUCUAAUUUCACCAUAAAUCCCUAGUUUUGAAAUUCUCUCAAUUUAGUCCCUAUUAAUUCAAAACUUAUGUUUUAUUUUACAAAUCAACCAUUUACUAACUUCUAACUUGAAAUUCAAUCAAUUUAACCCUUAUUUCAUCAAUUAAUUCAACAUAACUCAUGUCUAAAAAUCAACUAUCUUUCAAAUUUUCAACAUAUAUCAUGACAUAUUUUGUUCUAGAACUCCAAAAACUCAAAAAUUAUAAGAAAAUGGAUUAAAUUAACUUACCAAUUGAGCUUGGAACUUCAAAACCCAAAAUUCCCUUUUCUUUCUUUCCUUUCUCCUUCUCUGUUGCGUUUUUCAAUUCUGUUUCUUUCCUUCUUUUCUAUUUGUUUUUUUUAUAUAUAUAAUAAUAUAAUAUUAUAACAAUAUAAUUAAUAUAAUAAUUAUUUAUUAAGUAAAUAAAUAUAAUAUAUAUUAACUAAAAUAUCUCAGAUAUUUCUUUAGGUAUGCCGGUUCAACUUUAUAAAAAGGCAUAAUUACCUAUUUGGUCCUUUUAACUUUUCUUUAAUUUUUAAUUAAAAUUUUAUCUCUAUUGCAAUUUAAUCCUUUUUCAUAAUUAACCUCAAUUUAGACAAAUUCACCUAAUUAAAACUUAAUUAAUUAUACAACUAACUUCGUAAAUAUUUAUCACCCAAACGACGUCGUUUUCUUACCUUUCGUGGCUUUAGCGGCGUUUUUGAAGAAGCGCCGCUAAUGCUAGGGCUUUAGCGGCGUUUUUGGAAAAGCGCCGCUAAAAACAUUUUAUCUUAAUUGGUUUAUUUAUAUUAAGUAAAUAAAAUUCAAUUUAUUUCUAAUUGAAUAUUCAAAGAAUUAUGAUUGUUUUUUAAUUUAUAUAUUAAAAAAUUUCUUAUAUAAUUGUAAAAGAAAUAGUAUUAAUUUUAAAAUAUUGAAUUAAUUAUCACUAUAGUUUAGGGUUUUUGGUUUAGGGUAUGGUAUAUGAUUUAUUUAAGAUUUAAGGCCAGUUUAGGAGUUACUAUUUUAAGGUUUAGGGAGUAUGGAUUAGGGAUUAUGGUUUAAGGGUUGAGAAUUAAUGUUUAGGGGUUAGAGGUUUAGGGGUUUAGGGGUUAGAUGUUAUGGGUUAAGAGUUAAGAAUUUAGGGUUUAGGGAUUCAGGGGUCGAGUUAGGAUUUUGGGCGUUUAGAUUAAUUUUUUUAAUUUAUGUUUUAAAUAUGUUCUUAUAUAAUUGUAAAAGAGAUAAUAAUAAAUUUGUUUAGGGUUUUUGGUUUAAGGUAUAUGAUUUAUUUAAGAUUUAAGGCCGGUUUAGGAGUUCAUAUUUUAAGGUUUAGGGAGUAUGGAUUUAUGGAUUAUGAAUUAGUGAUUAUGGUUUAAGGGUUGGGAUUUAAGAUUUAGGGAUUAGAGGGUUAUGGGUUUAUGGGUACUUAGACGCGUUAGGGGUUAAAAGUUAGGGAUUCAGGGGUCAGGUUAGGGUUUUGGGUUUAGAUUAAUUAUUUUUUUAAUUUAUAUUUUAAAUAUGUUCUUAUAUAAUUGUAAAAGAGAUAAUAAUAAAUUUGUUUAGGGUUUUUAGUUUAGGGUAUAUUAUUAAUUUAAGAUUUAAGGCCGGUUUAGGUAUUCAUAUUUUAAGGUUUAUGGAGUGUGGAUUUAGGGAUUAUGGUUUAAGGGUUGGGAUUUAAUGUUUAGGGGUUAGAGGUUUCCCCCUUCUCUGCUGCAUAACUCCAGGGAGAAAUUAAUAAUGUUUGGUGGACAGGUAUGCUUAAUCAACUUCAUUUUAGUUUAGGGUAUAUUAUUAAUUUGACAGGUAUAAUUUCCCCCCUUCUCUGCUGCAUAACUCCAGGGAGAAAUUAAUAAUGUUUGGUGGACAGGUAUGCUUAAUCAACUUCAUUUUAACUGUAAGCUUUUCAUGUAGCCAUUAUGUCUCAUCCUUCUUGUUGAGUCAUCAUGUCAUGUGGGGGAUCAAGUAUUUAAAUGUUUCACUGGAUAUAUGUGCAUUUAAGCAUGUUGUGCACAUCAUUUUUCACCUCAGGUUCUGUUAGGUCAUAUCCUUUAGAUGUUUAUGCUAAAGAACUGUGACCUUUUUUAUCAAUUAUUUUGUGCUGGAAUUAGUGGUGCACCUCAAGAUAACAACAUUAUGCUUUGGAAUGCGGUUAUAUUUGGGUAUAUUAUGAAAUAAGACUAGAGAAUCUUUAUGUACUUGCUUUUUAGAUUAAAGUUCUAUUAAAUGUUUUAUAUUUAAAUUGUUCCUAUUUAAAUUGUUUUAUAUAUCCAUUUGUGGAGUUGCCUGAGAAAGUAUGGAUUGUCUCAUUUUUUAUUUUUAAAGAAUUUUAAAAUCAGAAGUACAUAUUCUUCAUCUUGGACAGUAACCUAGCUUGGUUAUCCAAUACGAAUACUGUAGGUAAGGUUGGCAGUUGAUGCUAUUUUAAUGGGAUUAAUGGGAGAUAUCCUGAUAGGUACUAUAUGCUUUCAACCCUUGAUAUGGUAUAUCAAGUCCUAAAUCAAAUAAACAUUUAGAUUUGUCUACCCCUAGAAGUAAUGUAUACUUCCAGCCCUUGCGUGAUAUUGUACCUAACACUCACAUUUGGAAAUGUUAAACAUACUUGUGUCAGAGGCAUACUUGUACCUAACACUCACAUUUGAGUCUGACUAAGUAGCUAAAAGUAUUUUGCACUGGUCCAGUGUUCACUAUUUUAUCCUAGGUUUUGAAAUUCAUGGGUUAUUACUGGUACCAUGUACUUCACUCACUGAAUCUUUUGGCUGAAAUUCAUGCCUCUUAACUGUCCCUUGUUUCUUAUUGAUCUACUUUUACCCUUUUUUUUUCUAAGAUACGCUGAUUUUGCAUUGUUUUCACGUGCUUAUUUCUGCUCUUGUUCUCAGUGAUGUAAGAUUGAAUUAGUUUAAAAGUGUUUUCUGCUAAUGGGUAUUGUUUAGCACUCUUCAGUCUAAACUAUUGUAAUUUAUAUUUAUUGUGGAUAUAUUGCCAUGUCUAUGUUUUUGAAUUUGAUGAAUUACUGAUAUGCACGACGUGUUUGCUUUACUAGACUUUAAAUGGUGGAAUUUCUUUGUUUUUGGAUACACAGUUUUGAGAUUUCUUUUGAAUUCAAAAUUGCCCAAGCUGCAUUUAAGUGAUUGCAUAUGUGAAAGUGUGCGUUUUUCUUGUCCAUAUGUCACAUGUCAGGCUUUAAGUUUAUGAAACCUGAGGAUUAGUAUAUAAUAGAUAUAUCAUUAUUUUUUGUUUAGAUAAUUAAGCACCAGCUAUGUUUAGCAAUUAACUUCUGUCAGGCUAGUUAAAUUUUUAAUAAUCAACUUUCAAUCCCAGCUGAGAACUUCGUUUUUAAUAACCAUGUUUUUGUUACCUAAGUUUUUCACCAUUCAUCCCUCUUUAUCAUAUAUUCAUGCUAGGUUGGAAACUAAAGGAGGUUAACCUUUUAUUUCUUUGUAGAAGGAUAAUACUUGCUAUAUAAUGGUUAAGACUGAAAGUAAUAUCAUUCCUAUGUUUUUAGAAAAUAUUUUAAUUUUUUAUGAAAGUAAGAUAUUAAAAGUAUGCCCACGAUGGAAUUAGCUCUUAUAAAUCACUUCUAGACUGUUGUGUGAUCACAUGUCUUGAUGAUUGAUGUUAAUAUAUAUAUAUGGUUUUGCUCUAUGAAAAUCCUUUUGUUUUCACAUAUUGCCAUGCUAAACUAGCAGCACUCUUAUCUUUUUUGCAGUCACUACUCAGAGGUAGGUUCUUGCUUGAAAGACCUGUUGAAGAGGAGAGACCAUCUUCAGUGGCAGUGAGUGAAUUAAAUUAAUUAAGUCACUACUCAGAAGUAAAAUAUCAAUUAGCCUGUUACUUUAUCAGAUUGUGUUAUAUUUCCUCAACAAUGUCUAAUUUGAGUUUAUAGAAGCAAUAAGCCCAUGUAGUAAACAGUGGAUGUAGUAAACCUAUUUUAGUCUAAUUUCAAAGGGUUUUUAGUUUAUAAAUUUUCAAGUUUAUAACUGUACAUAUUGAACUUGUGCAUUUUUUUUUUGCAAUCAAUUAUUUGCACUAUUUGAACUUGUAAUUUUGCUAUUUAAAUAUUAACAUGAUUUUUCAAUAUUUUGACUAAAAAAUAUUAAUUUAUUAUAUGAUUAAAUAAUAUCUUUUUGACUAAAAGUAUAUAUUUAAUACUAAUUAAUUUUUUAUAUUAAUAAUGUUUAAUUUUAAUAUUUAAUUUUUUUAAAUGUUUUUAAAAGUUAGUGGCGAUUUUAUGUAAAAUGCCGCUAAAGAACGGUACUUUUAGCGGCGUUUGUGAUAAAAAGCGUCACUAAAGGUCAUGUUCUUUAGCGGCAAUUGUUAGAAAACCGUCGCUAAAGGCUAUGUUCUUUAGCGGCAUUUAUUAAAAAAGCGCCGCUAAAGAACAUGGUCUUUAGCGGCAUUUAUUUCUAAAAGCGCCGCAAGUAUUAACGGCGUGGUCAAUAGCGGCAUUUUUUGUGGCGCUUGUUGAAGCGCCGCAAAUACUUACAACUGCGCUAAAAGGCGCCGCUGAAGGCCUAAAAAAAUGCCGUUAAAACCCUAUUUUGGUGUAGUGAUAGUAAGAUCAUCUAGCUGUAAGCUGCAAUCAACAGCACAUGAUGAAUUAUGUAAAAUACCAUGACGUAGAACCUCACCUUUUUCAAAUAACUCAUUUCCUUCACAAGCAGACUCUCCUCUUCCUUAAGUUCAGCAAAAGUCUGAAAAAUGACGGAUUCUUCCAGUUAAUAAUAAUACCCCUGAAUGAAUCAUCUUCGGAUUUUCUUUCAUAAAACAUUUCCCACCAAAAACAUGAAUCAAAAAGAUCAAUCACUUUACGUUCUUUCUUCUCUAUCUCUUCGUGGUUGUGCUAGUGGUUCCAUUAGCAGUAACGCCCUGCAAAAUACAUCAACUGAUCAAUAUAAUUUUAAACUGCAAAAUACAUCAACUGAUCAAGAACCAACAAAUUGAAAAAAAAAAUGCUAUAGGAUAAUUUGGAAUACUAGAUGGAUGAAAAUAGUAAAUUUCAAAAGUGGAUAAACAAUUGAACAAAAGCUUGGAGAUUUGGUGGCAGCCCACCUAAAACCCAGGCACAAUUAAAAUCUAAUUUUGAUAAUAAGCUUUCAAGGGUGUUCCAAUGGCGGGUUUUGAGAUAUUUGUGUAUGACAGCAGCGUAGAAAUUGGGAAGCCAAAGCCAGUCCACUAACCCAGCCGCUCCUACUCACGGAAGUGGGCAAUAGUAACACGGCACGCCACAUUACCAAAGAUGUUAACACAUGAUUGAAUUUAAACCUUAUAUCCAUCCAUUGUAUUUGAACUGUUCAGGUCACGUGACUUUUUUAUCAUAUGAUCUGUCCUGACGGCAACCAGUUAUUGGGUCACUACCUGUAUAAGCACUUGCAUUCCCAUUUUGUCUCCCAGUUGUAUUUCCAACUAAUUAUCACUGUUCAUUCUACCUUCGCCACUAUUCAAAGAUUAGAUUUCAUAGCUUCUCAAUCUUAUCUCAAAGAAUCUAUAAUUAAGAUGCUUUAAUAAUCGCG